CCUCUAAGGGGCAAUAUAAAAUAAUCCAUCCAAAUGGCCAUAAUACCCUAGCGAAGUUAUUUUCUUUUCCACGUUUCUUCCGCUUUUUCACUCUCAUUCUUUCUCGUCACGCUUGCUUGCUUGCUUCUCAACACUAUUCUUUCCCAGCGCUCUCUUUCUCUCGGAUUUGCUUUGCACACCAGAUGUCUUUUGAUCCCUGCAAGAAAGAUACAUUUUUUCUACUUUCUGAUUUUGGAUUUUUGAGCCGGGAGAGGCUGUGGUGUUCAUGGAAUUUCUUAUUUCGACACUGGACUUGAAAAAUUUUCCUGUUGAAUUAGUUCCAUGUAGUUUGUUAUUUGGUCUUUGCAAAUAGGCUAUUUGAUAUAUAAUUUUUUUUGGGUAAUCAAUUUGUUACCUCAGAAUUAAGAGAUUAAGUACAAGAUUUACAUAUUUACUUCAUUCACAACUUGUGAGCAACUAUUGGAAGUUGUUGUAUAGUGGGACGCCCUUUUGAAUUUUCCUAUGGGGAAAAAAUCACUGCCUCCAGGAUUUCGAUUUCAUCCUACAGACAUUGAAUUGGUAAAGUAUUAUUUGAAGAGGAAAGUAAUGGGUAGGAAAUUCCCUGUUGAUGCUAUUGCAGAGGUUGACAUAUACAAGUACGCACCUUGGGAUCUACCUGCAAGAUCUAGUUUGAGAAGUGGGGACUUAAAAUGGUAUUUCUUUUGCCCACGGGAAAAGAAAUAUGCUAAUGGGGCUAGAAUGAAUCGUGCUACUGAGUUUGGGUAUUGGAAGACUACAGGAAAGGAUAGGCCUGUUCAGUACAAUAAUGAUACAGUGGGACUGAUAAAGACUUUGGUUUUCCACCGAGGUAAAGCUCCAAAAGGCGACCGAACAGAUUGGGUUAUGCAUGAGUAUAGAAUUGAGGAAAAUGAUCUGGCAGACAGAGGUGUUGAACAGCUAGCAUUGCUGGACUUAGGUUUUACAAUGAUGUCUUUUCUGCCCUUCAGAGGAAGCAAGACAUAUACCCUUUUUAAUCUUAUACACAUUUUGUGUGUGUUCUUUUUCUUUUAUCGCAACAUACAAAACCUCCGUUUGAGGGAUUUCUUGUUGCUGGACUCUAAUUGGUUCCUGUGUUAUCAGGAUGCUUAUGUGCUUUGUAUAGUUUUCCAGAAGGCCGGCCUUGGCCCAAGAAAUGGUGCUCAAUAUGGAGCACCAUUUAAAGAAGAAGAUUGGGAUGAUGAUGAGGAUGUCGAUUGUAUGGAAGCAGUAUCUGCAGGUGUCCAUUCAAUUCCAGUGCCUAACCUAAUCAAUCCUGUAGCUGCUAGCUCAUCAUGUCUUUCAGAUGCUAUCCCUCCAGUUAGCAUUAUGCCUUCACCUACUACUGAAAAUAAUGGUGUAGCUAGUGAGUUUGCUCUUGUUUUGCAUAAGGAUGAUAUUGACUCAAUGUUAGCUUACUUCACAGAAGAUAGUGCUUUGGUUUCAAAUGAAAACGGUCAAAACAAGAUUCUUGGUCACCAGCAUAAUGAUAGUGUUGAAGCUUUGCCUCAUUCAGAUGGCAUUGAUAUCUACAAUGACUUGGGAGACUUUGGUAGGCUUAGUGAAGGUGCAGGGGAUUUCUCCUUCAGUUUAAAUGAUUGCGAUUAUCCAAAUCAAAUCCUGGUUGAUAAUGCUCUAUUUCUCGAGUUGCAUGAUCUUGAUGCACCAUUGAAUGGGCCUGCUGAAAGUAGGGCAUCUGAAUUCAAUUACACUGAUGAGUUGUACUCUAACCAGCACUGUCAUAAUGAUGCUGAACAAUAUUCCCUCAAAUUUAAUCCUGGGUUUAGUCAGUUUCCUUCCACAUACUGUCACACUGCUGAGCAAUCAUCCGUUACAGUAAAUCCUGGGUUAAGUCAGCAUCCUUCCAAACACUGUUACAAUACUGAGCAAUCAUUGCUCACAGUAAAUCCUGGGUUGAUUCAGUACCCUUCCAUGCACUGUUACAAUGCCGAGCAAUCUUUGACCACAGUAAAUCCUUGUUUAAAUCAGUGCCCUUCCAUGCACUAUUACAAUGCCUGGCGAUCUUUGCCCACAAUCAAUCCUGGGUUAAUUCAGUGCCCUUCCAUUGCCUGUUACAAUGCCAAGCAAUCUUUGCCCACAGUAAAUCCUGGGUUAAUUCAGACUCCUAUGCACUGUUGCAAUGGCGAGCAAUCUUUGCCCACAAUAAAUCCUGGGUUAAUUCAGAGUCCUUCCAUGCACUGUUACAAUGCUGAGCAAUCAUCCCUCAUGAUAAAUCCUGGGUUAAGUCAGUGUCCUUGCAUGCUGACGGAGCAGUACAGAGCUGAGGACCUAUUGGCUGCAUUUCUGAAUAGCUAAUAUGAGGUGGAUCAUAUUAUACUUUGAUAAAUCUCUGAUUGUCAGAACAGAUAUCAUUGAUGGGUUCCAUUAAACAAGACACUGGGAGAACAAUGUAGCUUCCCUAAGCUUGUCUGUCUUGCUUCAGCUGCAAAGUACCUGGCUCCUCUUCAUGGAGCAAAAGAUCUAAAUGCUCUGUUGUGUGCUUAUGGUCCUCCUCCAUUGUUGUCAAGGCUGAGGUGACUUGGUGGAGUUGUGUGUGCACCAACGAUGCUUUGUCAAAUAAGUUGGAGGGUUUUCCAUAUGUGGAUACAACCUACUCAAGAGGUGGCCAGGAAUGGGAUCAUCUAUUUGCAGCAGCAUGUGAAGCCUUGACCCCUUCAAAUUUAUGCAUAUAUACACAAUAUUUUAGAUAGUAGAGUGUGUAAUUAAUUUGAAUAAGAAUGUAGAAUCAGUAUCAGUUUCAAAGAAUAGGAUGCGCAUCAUGAUCUGCAUUAAGGAUGAUUGUCAGCGGUAAUCAUUCUAUGUGGCAGACCACGUGUGUGGCAUCUUAAUAAAACAUACUAAACAUGAUAAAAAUAAGAAACAAAAAUGAUAUCCUAUUAUUUAAAGAAGUAAUAUUGAAGUCGUAAGUCAUUUUUAUUGAA